rnacentral:lncRNA from 1 species
GGUUUCUUAAAAAGGCGUGGCGUUGGGGCUGGGGCCCGGGGGCACAUUCUUUGGUUUCUGCAUGGUUUUCCCGCCCCCCCCCCCCCCGCCCGUGUUUUUCCAGCAGGAUGUGAGCCGUUGUAGCCAUUGGAAGACGUGUGGGUUUCGCGUUGUGAAAGGCCCCCUCAGUUUCCAGGGCAGUGAGGCGUGGGGAGCACAUUUCAGGCCUUGCGCCCGGCUCCUUGGGGACCCUGCCGUGGGUAGGAGUUUAAGGAGCUGGAUGGCCAGUGUGCGGCGGAGCUGCAGGCAACCAGCAGUGAGCCUGGGAAAGGACCUGGGAAGGCGGGCGGGGCUGGUGCACGUGGGCCUCACAACCAUGGCCAUCUCCAUGUCUCCAGGCAGCAGGGCCAGCGCCUUAACCAGAGCGGGGAUGCACGGAUGUAACGCUGUGUUGGCAACCCCACCCCCACCCCCGUGAUGACGGUGGAGAAUGGCUUUGCAAGUGACCAGGGUAGAGCAGGUGCCCGAGCCUGCGCCGGCUGUGGUGUGUUCAACCUGAUGGCUACCGCCGCCAUCCUCCACUCACCACGCACACGGCGUCCCUCAAAGCCCUGGUUCCUGACCUCAUUGUCCCACUUGGCUCCCUACUGCUCCUGCUUCAGAGACCAUGUGUGUUGGCUCCCAGCCCUGAGGCUCUGAGUGGCCUCCGUCUGAGCCAGGUCCCGCGGGGCUGGACCCAAAGGGAGCAGGAAGGAGUCCACAAGAUGGGAAGCGUGCCGGAGCCCCACCGCCUGACUUUGCUGAAGGUCAGCGCCUGGUUUCUGCUUGGUCCUCCUCCCUGGGCUGGGGCCUCCUCAGGGGGUGGAUCCUCGGGGAGCAGGAGGCUUGGCAGGAAGCUGAUGUUCGGGGGAGGGGGGGGGCGAGCGCCAAGGCGCACAAGGCUUAAUUGUGCUGGACGUUGCCCGGACAGCCCAGGCCUCCGUGGCCAAGACCUGAUUGCGAGGCUGGGAGGACGCAUUUGACUGUCCCCAGGGCCACCCUAUCAGCUCGCCCUAGGAAGGGUGAGAGGGUGGGGGCCCAUCCAGCUGAAGCCCAGCAGGUCAAGGACAGGGCGGGAGCAGGCUCUGGCCGACGCGGUCUCGGAGGCAGUGACGUGCCGGCCACGUCACACGGCCGGGCUCUUUCUUUGGCUGAGCCGCAGCCGCCUUUGCUGUCCCAGUGCUGCAGGGGCUUCGGUUGUCAGCUGCUCCCCAAGCACUUGCCGGGUGCUGGGAAAAGAGUUUCCGUCUGCAGCUCCAGGGAGGGCAGGGUCCCGGGAGAGGCCGCCGCUCUGCAGCUGUCACUGAAACACGCUGUCCCCAGGCCUGCAGUGGUGGGGAAUGGGCACAGGGCAGCAGGACCCUCGAGCUGGGGAGACCCCCUGUGGGUGUGCAGUGCGUUGCUGCCCACUGCCGAGGGGUCUCCACCGCGUCCUCUCGUGUAAGGAGAACUCAGGACCCCCGGACGCUCACCUCCCCCGAGCCCCGGGAGCCGCCGUCUGCUCUGCUCCUAGAGCGGCUUCCCGGGGCGGGGCGGCCGGGCAGUGGGCGUCCUUCUGUGUCUGGCUCCCUUGUCUCAGUUGUAAGCGCAAUGUCCUCCAAGGCCCAUCCUCGCCCUUGCAAAGGUGGGAUUUCCUUCUUAGGGCUGAAUAAAUACCUCAGCAGAGUGGUUUAAGAAAAAGAC